rnacentral:rRNA from 1 species
GACGAACGCUGGCGGCGUGCCUAAUACAUGCAAGUCGAACGAACCGCGACUAAGUGCUUGCACUAAGUCAAGGUGAGUGGCGAACGGGUGAGUAACACGUGGGUAACCUACCUCAUAGUGGGGGAUAACAGUCGGAAACGACUGCUAAUACCGCAUAGGACAUAGGAUCACAUGAUCCAGUGAGGAAAGGUGGCGCAAGCUAUCGCUAAGAGAUGGACCCGCGGUGCAUUAGCUAGUUGGUAGGGUAAAGGCCUACCAAGGCGAUGAUGCAUAGCCGACCUGAGAGGGUGAUCGGCCACAUUGGGACUGAGACACGGCCCAAACUCCUACGGGAGGCAGCAGUAGGGAAUCUUCCGCAAAGGACGCAAGUCUGACGGAGCAACGCCGCGUGAGUGAAGAAGGUCUUCGGAUCGUAAAGCUCUGUUGUUAGAGAAGAACAGCGCAUAGAGUAACUGCUAUGCGUGUGACGGUAUCUAACCAGAAAGCCACGGCUAACUACGUG